AUUUAAAUGACAUCGAUAAAUACGUUUAAAAAUAUUUCUGGGUGCCGUCGUCGGAAUUUUAAAAGUUUUUUCGAUGGUCCAGGUUUCUUUUGUUAACGCCUCAAGAAGAGAGACCCAUUUCUAAGGAAAAAAAUAUGUUUUAGGCAUCUAAUAAAAAGUACAUAUUGGUAUAUGUCAAAAAUUCCGACCCCGAGGUCAAUUAUUGUCAAAAUAAAAUACAUAUGUAUAUAUAUUAAAACAUUAAACCCUCUUAAAUUAGAGCACCCCGUUAAAAACACUUUUAGUUUAACAAAAUUUCAGACGUUUCAAGUUUAAAAUGAACAAUAAGAAAUUAAACGACAAUUCUAAGAAAAUAUUAUUUUAAUACCUUAAUAGUAUUAUAAAAUUAACUAGCAUGUUACCCGCGGCUUCGCCCGCGGUAGACGUAUACGUUAUAAAAGACGCAUAAGAUGAAAGAUUUUGGUAGCAUAUCUAUCGUCACUCUCACAAUAAACAAAAUAAAUAAGGAUGCAAGAAAAUGACCUCACUGCACCCAUCAAAAACUUUCACUAUACCUACAGGUUAUAAAAACGUUAAAUACGUAACAUUAUACAACUUACCUCUACAUCUUCUUUGGUAAACAGUCUACAAACUAUUAUAUUAUUGUCUUUAAGUAUAUAUUCAUAACCCUCAGGUAAUGCACGCAUUUUUUUUUAAUUAUUAGCACACUAAUAAACAAACACCAAUCUACUUGUACAACACCACCGUAAACUAGGUUAUUUUAUCAACAUGUUUCCCUUAAACAAUCCGAAAGAAUUCAACCUGUGCCGCGAUACAAUGACUUGUAAAUAACAGACGUAUUAGAUGGACACGUCUGCUGGAUACAAACGGUGUUCGUGCGUCCGGGACAUGUACUGUUUUUCAUCUUAUUGAAGUUUAUUAGUGAUGGGUUCGUAAAAGUGAGGUUACUUUUCUUGCGUUACAGGUGUAGAAACCGUGCGUUUUGACCUCAUUUAAGAACUGUUGAAACGGUAUUUUUAACAAAAUUAACAUGAAUAAUAGUGAUAGUGAUGAUAGCAGUGUUGAGGGCCUUCAUGGCAGCAAGAAACGCAAAAGGGAUGCGAAAACAUGGAAAAACAACAAAAGAAAAAUUGCUGCUCGUAAAGGUGAAGCAUAUAUCUCCUCAUCUGGUAAAAGAGUUGCUCCAAAAACAUUUGGACCUCCAUGCAUGUAAUCUAUUUUUCUAUUAUAAUUAUCUAAAAUAACGUAUCAUUUUCAUUUUUUAAGGUGUAAGAUGAAAAGCACGGACAAGUUUACUGAUGAAGAAAAAUCUAUUUUUAUUUCAAAAUUGUAUGACGGUAGACCAAAAAAUGAAUAUGAUACUGUUAGAUUAUAUCUGUGGUUUAUGCAGCGACAUCUGUCCGAUGUACUUAAACUGCUGUACUGGUGUUAAUAAAAUGUGCGAUUACUUCCUUGUGAACUCGCAACAAGUAAACGUCGUUGUCGUUUUAAUAGGUUAUGGACCCAGGCCGCCAUUGACCAGUAAUUCGCGUGUUUGUUGUGUGUUUCUAAAUAUGUCGUCGUUCAGUAUUUUAUCUACUGUGCCAAAAUUGAAAGGGAGAGAAAAUUACAGCGAUUGGACUUUCGCAGUAGGUAAGUAAUUUUCUAGUGCUAGACGAUUUGGAAGGGUGCAUAGAUGGCAAGUGCGAAGACGUGACGAAAAUCGCGAAAGCUAAGGCGAAGUUAGUGUUAUCUAUCGACGCAUCGCUUUACGUACACAUUAAAGAAGCUAAGAUGGCAAAGGAAGUGUGGGAUAACACAGCUAGCCUCAAAAGAGAGCACGGUCCCUUUAGGAACAACCUCUCAGAGAAAGUUGAGGUACCGAGAGACGCUCAAUUUUCCGGUACCACCUGCAACUGUGGAGAACUAGGUGGAACGUUUUUCGGAAGAUUACGAGUAUUUUACUUCAGCGGUAGAAGCUGAUCGCAUGCUUCUCUCCAUGAUAGCAGGUGACAAGUACUCAACAUAGUGACAACGAUUUACAACAAACAUAAAAAAAUGCAGAAAAGUUUAGUAAACCAAAGCGAUGUUUUGUUUUCUGUAGAAUCUACAGUCGUGCUGUUUGUUUCAGAUUGGAUUUACUUCAACGGACGCAAGUAAUUCAGUGUCUCCAGUCAAGAUAUCAGGUAGUCUUUCAGCUAGAACGUCGCAUAGUUUAAACCAUAUACAGGGUGUUACACGACCGUUCGAAAAAAAAAAUCCGGUUGUAG